ensembl:lncRNA
AAAGCAAGCAUGAUUGCCAAUAGGUUCAUUAACAGCACUGUAAUACUCUACUUUCAGCCUCCUUCUCCCUCAGAAAGACCUCUGGAAAGUUCAAAGUGUCAAGAAAAUUGUUGCAGAACUGUGAUAAGACAUGAAGUUCAAGCACUGAAAACUUCAAUAACACUGGCUAAAUGCCAUAUUAAUCUAACAUGUGUCAGCAUGUGAAUGUGCUCAUCAUCAUCCUCAGUCUUCAGCAACUUUGGGAGGCUGGACUCUGGUGAGAUGCCACAUAAAGACAUUCUACAAAAUCAUCAUCUGUCUCUUCCUCUGAUUCUGAACUCAUGCUCAUGUUUGACCUCUAACAUGUCAAAAGAGGAACUCUUCCCAAGACUGGGGGAAAAGCCCAGUUUUGUAAGCUUAGCAACUGUAUACUGAGAAAUGGUGUGGAAGUAAGGAACAGCAGAAAAUGUAUUUGGUAAGUUUAACUUUUCCUUUCUCUUUUGACAUUAGCAGUGGUGUUUUGCCAA